AGGAUGGAGAACGUGCUGGAACGUGCACUCAUAGUCUUGUGGCUUCAGCUUGGCUGGUUGAGUGGAGACGACCAGGUGGAGCAGAGUCCUCAGACCCCGAAAACCCAGGAGAGAGACAGUCCCAGCCUCAACUGCAGCUACACCGUCAGCAGUUUUAGAGGGCUACAGUGGUAUAGACAGGAUCCUGGGAAGGGCCCCGAAUUCCUCUUCCUCCUUUCCUCAGUUGGGGAUGAAAAACAGAAAGAAAGACUAAGAGCCACCCUGUUAAAGAAGGGAAGUUCUCUGCACAUCGAAGUCCCUAAACGCGAAGACUCAGCCACUUACCUCUGUGCUGUGGAGACAGAGUGCUCCCCAGGCACCUGCAGCCUUUACCUGAACCCUGCAGCUGGGGAUCUAGAAUAA